AUUGAACGCUGGCGGCAGGCCUAACACAUGCAAGUCGAACGAGUGGCGUACGGGUGAGAAAUGUCUGGGAAACUGCCCGAUGGGGGGGGGUAAAUACUGGAAACGGUGGCUAAUACCGCACACUAUAGGAUAUGCCCACAUGGGAUGAGCGUGUAGGGGAGGUAACGGCUCCCCUAGGCGACGAUCCCUAGCUGGUCUGAGAGGAGGACCAGCCACAAUGGAACUGAGACACUGUCCAGACUACGACGGGAGGCAGCAGUGGGGAAUAUUGCACAAUGGGCGCAGGCCUGAUGCAGCCAUGCCGCGUGUAUGAAGAGGGCCUUCGGGUUGUAAAGUACUUUCAGCAGCGAGGCGUUACCCGCAGAAGAAGCACCGGCUAACUCCGUGCCAGCCGCCGCGGUAAUUC
rnacentral:rRNA from 1 species